rnacentral:lncRNA from 1 species
UGUAUUAUUUUUUAAUAUAUUAUUUGUAGUAGUACUAGUAGUAGUAUAUAAGUCUCUAAUAUAUAUUCUAGUAGUGUUUACCCACCAAAUUUAUUCUAGUAGGGUUUUGUAUAUAUUAUUGUUUGUACUAUAUUAUUCUAGUAUUGUUUUUAGUAUAUUAUUCUAGUGUAUUACUUGGCUUAAAAGAUUCUAGUAUUAUUUUUAGAGCACUCCAACACUUUCAUUUGUAGUAGUACUAGUAGUAGUAUAUAAGUCUCUUAGUAGUGUUUAGCCACCAAAUUUAUUCUAGUAGGGUUUUGUAUAUAUUAUUGUUUGUACUAUAUUAUUCUAGUAUUGUUUUUUAUUCUAAUGUAUUACUUGGCUUAAAAGAUUCUAGUAUUAUUUUUAGAGCACUCCAACACUUUCAUUUGUAGUAGUACUAGUAGUAGUAUAUAAGUCUCUAAUAUAUAUUCUAGUAGUGUUUAGCCACCAAAUUUAUUCUAGUAGGGUU